GGGGUACCUAGUAGGGCCCAGCCAGAGGGUUGAAUCUCCCACACCCGGACCUGUGCUGCUGACUGGACACUGAUGACUACAGCCCUGGUCAGAAUGGUGUAUUACUACCCCUUCAGACUUUUCCACGUUCUAAGAACUUAAAUUCUGGCUAUAUUUGAAGGAAAAUUAUUGUACGAUUCGCAUAGCAGCAUUGAGAGCCGCGCACAGAGACUUG